rnacentral:rRNA from 1 species
GUGGCGAACGGGUGAGUAACACGUGGGCAAUCUGCCCUUCACUCUGGGACAAGCCCUGGAAACGGGGUCUAAUACCGGAUGAUACUUCUGCUCGCAUGGGUGGGGGUUGAAAGCUCCGGCGGUGAAGGAUGAGCCCGCGGCCUAUCAGCUUGUUGGUGAGGUAGUGGCUCACCAAGGCGACGACGGGUAGCCGGCCUGAGAGGGCGACCGGCCACACUGGGACUGAGACACGGCCCAGACUCCUACGGGAGGCAGCAGUGGGGAAUAUUGCACAAUGGGCGAAAGCCUGAUGCAGCGACGCCGCGUGAGGGAUGACGGCCUUCGGGUUGUAAACCUCUUUCAGCAGGGAAGAAGCGAAAGUGACGGUACCUGCAGAAGAAGCGCCGGCUAACUACGUGCCAGCAGCCGCGGUAAUACGUAGGGCGCAAGCGUUGUCCGGAAUUAUUGGGCGUAAAGAGCUCGUAGGCGGUCUGU